AAAAAAUCGAUUUGAAUUUCAUCAUCUGAUCAUUCCCAUAUUUCCUUCCUCCAUUUCAUUAACAAGUGCUUAUUCAGCAUUCCUAAUAUCAUCUUUCUAUUCGGUCGUUGUCCAUUUCCUUUAGAUAGUCUUAGUUUAAAGGUAAUAAAACACCAUCAAACCUAUAUAGAAGGUGACCUUGAAGGUGCUUUGAAGUCAUUCAACCGCAAAUAUUGUCAACAACAAUAGUAACAAAAUACACAACAAAGAAAAACAUAAAGUGUAGAGUUGUCUAAAUAUAGUAACACAAUAAUCAUCAGAGACAGUUUACAAGGUAGAGUUGUCUUAAUGUAGUAACCAAAUACUUAUCAGAGUCAACAAACAGACUUGUAGAUAUAUGCUGCGUUCUUGAUUAUAAAACCCGUUAUCCUGAUUGUUGAUACCACACAGGAGUGAUUUGCUUGUUUUCUUCCACACUUUCCUACCGUAUCAAUAAUACGAUUAUAAACUCAAUGCAUCGCUUAUUCGUCAAGGGUGCAUGGGAUUUACAAAAAAUGUGAUGACGUUACCAUAGUAAAACCUCAAAAUGUGAUGACGUGAUGGUGACGUUUUCAGAAUAAAAGUGUGUGAGAGUCGCCUUCACUUAAUAGGUACAGACAGUUAUUUUUUCACUAGCAAAAACGAUAAGGUCCUUGUGAAGAGUGACAGAUACUUUAAGCUGAAUAAAAAGGCGACGCCAGUAGACUUGAUGAGUUUCCUUGUAAUAUAGCGGUAUAUCAUACAACGGUUUUAAAGACUUUUUGCAGUAUCUUUAGAUAGGCUCUACAGCAUUUCAAAUUAAUAACGUUGUAAUAUAUAGAUGCAUUGCAAUACAUUGCAAUUUCCUUAUAUUUAAAAUAAACACGCUAAAAGAAGACGACAAUAGUAGGUUGAUUGAUAGUCUCAUUCUAUUACAAUUGUAAACGUUUUCCCUCGUAUAGUGAUUUUCUUUCGUCAACUCUGUGGUUCUGUCUUGACUUAACUUCAGCUGGCUACAGGUCAAUGAAUGACAACACGUUUUAUAAAGUUCUACAAUUUAUUAUGUACCAAACGAACCAGUGAAUUAAUUAAACAUGAUGAAUAGAUAUACACAAUGCUACAGCACGUCAACCACUCGACCGGUCCAUACUAAAACAGUAUACCGUGUAACAUAUGUCCUCUCAAAAAUGUCCACCCGGUAUCCCACCCCGGGGAAUAAGUUUAAACAAACCCCGAUAAUAUAUUACAACAUGCCUACAACGGGAAAAUAACCAUCCCAAAUUAACACCGAGAUAAUUCUACCCAAACAUGCCUACAAUGAGAAAAUACAACCCAGCCCGGAAUAAUUUUGAGGUCUAAGGCCGAAAUACACUCCUACAUACCUGCCCGUAAGAAGGGUAAAGACGAGCCGGCUAGCUACAUGUAAGCCUCUGCCAGACUGAUUUACAAUACCAAAAACACCCAGCUAUGUAGCCAAAUUUAAUUGUAUGCCUUGAAAUGCACGAGCCAUGUAGUUUUUGAAAUACACGUGCAAUGUAGUAUUUGAACUCGAUACUGACCCAUACCUGAGCGUAGAGUGCUGUACAGGUAAGGUAACAUAUCCUAAAAAUAUUAACCAAUCAGAAACGUCUAAAUAAUAUACCGGGAAGGAAUCCCCAACGGGAAUACCCCAGGUACACGCACUCCGUUACACGAAACGUAAAUACGGAAAUAUAUACAACAAGUAAUUGUUCAAAACCCAAUCCUUUUACACAAUAUUAACCUACGAAAUAGUAUGAACAGAUAGCGCCAUCAAUAUCAUUGACCUUUGAUGGCGCCUCGAAUUCAUAUUAGUAGCAGAUUUUAGUUAUGUAAAUAAAUAGACUGUUUUUAUUACGCGAUUGUUUCCAAUACUCAAAUUAUGAGAUGUAAACGUGUGGUCCAUUCUCGUGACAGUGUUUUAUUGUGAUUUCUGGAGAGUUAGAGUGUCAUCGCCUUAUGGACAGCUUAACCCCUCUGAAAACGCUUAUGGAGAACAUUUUCCUAGGGACGUAAAAUAUUAAUCUGCCCUCGUUAUUUCGAGGGUUAAAAGUAGUUGCAAUUUUAAAAUGACUGUUAUCUAUUAGUCAUUAGGUGUGUAAAACCUAAAUGAUUUACAAAAUAGGCAAACAGCAAAUACAAGAAUGUGUAGGACGAUAUGCAAUAGUGUCCCACAUAUAAUUAAAACACAAAACGUAUGAAAUGAAAGCUGACAAUACGUACCGUAACAUGAGCAGAUUGCUGAACAAGGAAGUUUUAAACCAUAGGAAGUAAAAUGGCGUUGAUCAUAUCCCGUCUUGUUCUCUUCCUUGUCUUUAUCAAGAUCUCUGAAGCCCAAACACUGUCGUUGUCAGUGACGCCAUCCUCUCCAAUCCUGAAACACGAAUUGACUUUAACGUGUUCUGUCAGUAUGGACAUCAUCGAGAACAUGCAAAUAUUUUACAAGAGAAACACAUUCCUAGUAGGAAUGUUCCUAGUUAACAGUACUCUUGUGUCUCUACAAAAGCACAAGGAGGUCAAAAUUACACAUUCACAUGUGGGUUUUUUCCUGUCCGAGAACUUUUGCUUACUAUUCCUGCUGCACACGUCACAGGGGAUGAACAAGGAACAGAUUGGAUUUGUAAUAUAUUUCUAAGCGGAGUCAUCAGUAACAUAGUUCACCUGGAACUUAGUGGUAUGUUCCAUUUCUGUUCUUUUUUUUUCACUAUGCGAAUGUUCAAUAUCUAUAGUAACGUUGACAGAACCAUACAUUGUUAUGUGGUGGGAAUGUCAGAAACAUAUAUUUACUCUUGGACCUGAUAAUCACUUUCAACAUGUAUUCGUAAAAAAACGUUCAUAUAAUAAUAACAUAUUUAUUCUAGGAUCUUAGAUACCGCUUUAUCACAACCUUGUUUAUAGGUCUCUCAAAGAGGUUCAUACCAUUAUUAUCCGUGGUUAAAGGGCCUUUGCAACCAGCCAAUAUUUGUCUCAACUCCCUGGGGAGCAUACAACCGGUGCCGCCAUUUCGGUGCUCACAGCUAGCAUUCUACAGUUCUAACACUGCCCCACCACGAGUGAACAAAUGUGUUAUAUAUAGUCUUGGCCAAUGAUAGGAGUAUAAUCUUACACACUACCGACAAACACUAGGCUUCAUUGCACCAAUACACUGCAUACAUUUAAAAAUUGAAUACUGUAACUUAAAACAUGUUCUUUAGGUGAAAAGGCUGUGAGGAAGGCGCAUAUCAAAAACAGAAAACAUCGUUUUUCUUCAAAACGUUUUAAACCGAAAUAUAUUGUACGUCUCUGCGUUAACCGCUAAAUAAAAAUGUAAUUUAAAUUCAGAUUAUCUGUGUGUACACCAAUCAUGUGUUUAACCGAUAGUCUGCUAAUCGCUCGCUCGAAAUAUAAAUAUAUAUAAGAUCAUAAUAAUAAAAAACAAAAACAAAAAACAGGUUAUGGUUCUCGUAACUACCAUGUGCUAACCUUCGAUCGGUCGGUAAAUCAGUCAGACAAUCAAUAAUUCACAGACCAUCAAUCAAUACAUAUCAAUUAAUUAAUCAAUCAAUCAUUCAACUACAGAAUCAAUUGUUAUAUCUAAUAGAACUAAAUAAUAUACAUAUUUAUGUUUUUAUGGCGAGGCUUAUAUUGAUAUGGAUUAUAACCAAUAAUACCAAAGUGAUACUCACAGACGGUUGUAUAACAAGAAAUACUUUUCACGUAAAUAGACAAAGAAUAAUAUUUAAAAUGAAUUUAUAUACCCUAAAAUGUCAUCUUUAGACCACAUUAAUAUAUGUAACUUUAUUCAGUGUGAAAUCACAUCUCAAUAUCUCAAUCUCAGUUCAAACCCUGAAUGUAUACUCUCAUCUCAAACUAUAUAGAUUUCAAUGGUUUGUUGAAAGAAGCCGUACAUUUCAAUUAAAUUAAUAUUUUCUAGAUUAGCUAAGACGUGUCUAAUCAAAUGUAUCAAACCAUCAAUAAACCCCGUUAUGUGUAACGAACACUGAAAUACAUACUGAUAGGAAAACGCUGACUGGCAGUUCCGUCAUCUAUCGCAGGUAAAACAACCAUUGGAAAUGGUAGGGAUUCCCUGUUAAUAAUUUUGUUCCAUUUUCCUGAACCGUUAUAUUGUGAUGUCUGGAGAGAUAGAUUGUUAUUGCCUUAUGUCUGCUUUCGACAGUUUAUUCCUGCUGAAAACGCUCAGGGAGAACUUUUUUCUUGGAGAUAUAAAAAAAUUAUCUCAUUGCGUGGCCAUUAUCCGUAGGUGUUUAAUUCGUAAAUUAUCACAAUACAGGUAAAGAGAUUAUAACAGUUCAUAAAGGUAUACAUCAAAUAUAAGAACAUGUAGGAUGAUAAAUAAUGGUGUCACACGAAAUAAAAACAAAUAAAAAACAUAUUAAAAUGUAAGCUGACGAUACUUACCGUGACAAGGGCUUACCUAACUGAACAAGGUAGUUUAAACCAUGGUAAGUAAACAUGGCGAUGAUCAUACACCGUCUGGUUCUUUUCCGUCUCUUUAACAACCUCUCUGAAUGUAUGUACCUCUUAAUAUUAUUGGAAUUAUUAUGAAAUAUGACUUUUUGAAAAAGCUGAGAUAAUGUUCGUGGUGAUCACUAAACUGUUCAUCUCAGUCCGCUGUCUAUAUGGUAUGGUUUAUAUUUAAAUCAGGAAAACAGAUUACCACCCGUUAAUUCGGAUGAGUGGUAAAAAGACC